rnacentral:rRNA from 1 species
GAUGAACGCUGGCGGCGUGCCUAACACAUGCAAGUCGAGCGAUUCUCUUCGGAGAAGAGCGGCGGACGGGUGAGUAACGCGUGGGUAACCUGCCCUGUACACACGGAUAACAUACCGAAAGGUAUGCUAAUACGAGAUAAUAUGCUUUUAUUCGCAUGGUAGAAGUAUCAAAGACUUUUGUCGGUACAGGAUGGACCCGCGUCUGAUUAGCUAGUUGGUAAGGUAACGGCUUACCAAGGCGACGAUCAGUAGCCGACCUGAGAGGGUGAUCGGCCACAUUGGAACUGAGACACGGUCCAAACUCCUACGGGAGGCAGCAGUGGGGAAUAUUGCACAAUGGGCGAAAGCCUGAUGCAGCAACGCCGCGUGAGCGAUGAAGGCCUUCGGGUCGGUAACGCUCUGUCCUCAAGGAAGAUAAUAGACGGUACUUG